GCCUGGAAACUUACAGAAAUUUCUCUUUAUCCUGGAAGUUGAGGGCUUUUUACAGGAUAUUUCUAGAUGUGUGCCUUUUUUUCUCAAUCCAGGCUGGAAUUCAAUGAGCCCUUUUAAAUAACAAGUCUUUUUUAAUCACAGAAGCAUUUUCUCUUUCUCUUUCUCUCUCUCUCUUUCUUUGUUUUGACAGAGUCUCACUCUGUUGCCCAAGCUGGAGUGCAGUGGCAUGAUCACAGCUCACUGCAGCCUUGACCUCCGACUCAAGUGUUCCUCCCACCUCAACUUCAUCAUUUAUUUAAUCCCUGUACUUCCUCCAACAAUUCCUUUUCUCCUUCUUGAAUUUCUGUUUCUUAAAUUAGGUCUCCUGGAUCAAUCCUCUAAGCCUUUUAUCAUGGCAAAAUUGCAUGGGCAUUAAGAAGCAAAAACAUGUGAUUAACAACAGCACAGCAAACCACCACGGCACAUGUUUACCUAUGUAACAAACCUACACAUCCUUCACAUGUAUCCUGGAACUUAAAAUAAAAUUAAGUUAAAUUUAAAACAACAACAACAACAACAACAAACCAGCACUUCACAGCACAGUGACAGAAGCGCAACUACCUGGGUCUGAACACCAGCUGUGCAACCCUGGGAUUGUUCCUUACCCCUCUGAGCCUCAGUUUCCUCAGCUGUGACAUGGGUUGUGACAGUGAAAUGAUCCCUCAGAGUUCCUUCCCUAGACUCACUGGAGAAAACAGCAUAUCCAGGGGCACAAAGUGAUAUUAUACAGAAGGCACAGACAACAAAUUAACAGAACUCUGCUGCUCUAGGACAUAGCUCCUUCAAUUCCUGGCCUUUGGAUCAGGUGACAGAAGGGCCACUCUCUAAAUAUCUCCUUCCAGUACCAUCAUUUCUGCACUGGCUAGUAAGGACCAAAUGUGGCCCCUGUUCCUUUCCUCCCAUUCUGCUUUUGGGUAGUGGCUGCUUCCUGCUGAGACAGCAUGUUUUUGGGCACUCCCUCUGGGAACAUGGCAUAAGAGGGAGUCAGAAGCCUUCCUCUCAUCUCUGCCUCCAAGUCUAUCACCUUAGACAAGUCGCUGAUCCUCUCCAAGCCUCAGUUUUUUUUUUCAUCUAAAAAAUAAAGAAGGCCCCUCUCCUAGAGACUCUAGAGAGAGCAUGGCCCUGCCACCACCUUGAUUUCUGACUUCUAACCUCCAGAAUUGUAAGAGAAUAGAUUUCUGUCAUUUUAAGCCACAGUUUGUGGUACUAACACAGACACCUUCUCCUCUGCCAAAAAUAAUAAUUCAUGUGAUGGGAUAAAAAUGACUGGCGAGUUCCCAACCUUUCCCACCCCCAUGGCCCCUAAUGAGGGUCCUGGUUACACUCUCCUCAGUUCCUCCUGGAGCCCACCCUCCAAGGAAGGAGCCCCGCCCUGCC
rnacentral:lncRNA from 10 species